UACGUAGGGUGCAAGCGUUGUCCGGAAUUAUUGGGCGUAAAGAGCUCGUAGGCGGUCUGUCGCGUCUGCUGUGAAAACUCAGGGCUUAACCCUGGGCCUGCAGUGGGUACGGGCAAACUAGAGUGCGGUAGGGGAGAUCGGAAUUCCUGGUGUAGCGGUGAAAUGCGCAGAUAUCAGGAGGAACACCGGUGGCGAAGGCGGAUCUCUGGGCCGUAACUGACGCUGAGGAGCGAAAGCAUGGGUAGCGAACAGG
rnacentral:rRNA from 1 species